AGAGCGAACGCUGGCGGCAGGCUUAACACAUGCAAGUCGAACGAACUCUUCGGAGUUAGUGGCGGACGGGUGAGUAACACGUGGGAACGUGCCUUUUGGUUCGGAAUAGCUCCUGGAAACGGGUGGUAAUGCCGAAUGUGCCCUUCGGGGGGAAAGAUUUAUCGCCAUUAGAGCGGCCCGCGUCUGAUUAGCUAGUUGGUGAGGUAAAGGCUCACCAAGGCUACGAUCAGUAGCUGGUCUGAGAGGAUGACCAGCCACAUUGGGACUGAGACACGGCCCAAACUCCUACGGGAGGCAGCAGUGGGGAAUCUUGCGCAAUGGGCGAAAGCCUGACGCAGCCAUGCCGCGUGUAUGAUGAAGGUCUUAGGAUUGUAAAAUACUUUCACCGGUGAAGAUAAUGACUGUAGCCGGAGAAGAAGCCCCGACUAACUUCGUGCCAGCAGCCGC
rnacentral:rRNA from 1 species